GAUGAACGCUGGCGGCGUGCCUAAUACAUGCAAGUCGAGCGAACAGACGAGGAGCUUGCUCCUCUGACGUUAGCGGCGGACGGGUGAGUAACACGUGGAUAACCUACCUAUAAGACUGGGAUAACUUCGGGAAACCGGAGCUAAUACCGGAUAAUAUAUUGAACCGCAUGGUUCAAUAGUGAAAGACGGUUUUGCUGUCACUUAUAGAUGGAUCCGCGCCGCAUUAGCUAGUUGGUAAGGUAACGGCUUACCAAGGCAACGAUGCGUAGCCGACCUGAGAGGGUGAUAGGCCACACUGGAACUGAGACACGGUCCAGACUCCUACGGGAGGCAGCAGUAGGGAAUCUUACGCAAUGGGCGAAAGCCUGACGGAGCAACGCCGCGUGAAUGAUGAAGGUCUUCGGAUCGUAAAACUCUGUUAUUAGGGAAGAACAACUGUGUAAGUAACUAUGCACGUAUUGACGGUACCUAAUCAGAAAGCAACGGCUAACUACGUG
rnacentral:rRNA from 1 species